UACGGGGGGGGCAAGCGUUGUUCGGAAUUACUGGGCGUAAAGGGCUCGUAGGCGGCCAACUAAGUCAGACGUGAAAUCCCUCGGCUUAACCGGGGAACUGCGUCUGAUACUGGAUGGCUUGAGUUUGGGAGAGGGAUGCGGAAUUCCAGGUGUAGCGGUGAAAUGCGUAGAUAUCUGGAGGAAUACCGGUGGCGAAGGCGGCAUCCUGGACCGGCAUUGACGCUGAUGAGCGAAGGCUAGGGGAGCAAACGGG
rnacentral:rRNA from 1 species